AAAAGACUUAGUCCUAACCUUACCGUUAAUUCUUGCUAGACAUAUACAUGCAAGUAUCCGCACCCCAGUGUAAAUACCCUUAACAUCUCACCAACAGAUAACAGGAGUAGGUAUCAGGCACGCAUCAACAAUUCACCGCAGCCCAAAACACCUUGCCCUGCCACACCCCCACGGGACUUCAGCAGUAAUUAACAUUAAGCAAUGAGUGAAAACUCGACUUAGUCAUAGCAACUAUCUUAGGGUUGGUAAACCUUGUGCCAGCCACCGCGGUCAUACAAGGAACCCAAAUUAACUCUAUACGGCGUAAAGAGUGGUCUUUCAUUAUCACCCUAACUAAGAUUGAAGUGUUACUAAGCCGUUAUAAGCAUUAGACACAUUUAACAUUCUCCCCAAAAGAGAUCUUAGCCCUACGACCAAUCAAACUCCACGAAAGCCAGGACACAAACUGGGAUUAGAUACCCCACUAUGCCUUGCCAUAAAUCUCGAUGUUUACUUACCCAAGCAUCCGCCUGAGAACUACGAGCACAAACGCUUAAAACUCUAAGGACUUGGCGGUGCUCCAAACCCUCCUAGAGGAGCCUGUUCUAUAAUCGAUAACCCACGUUACACCCAACCACCUUUUGCCAAAACAGCCUAUAUACCGCCGUCCCCAGCUCACCCAAAACUGAAGGUCUAGAAGUGAGCACAAUAGCCCCCUACGCUAGCAAGACAGGUCGAGGUAUAGCCUAUAAGGUGGAAGAAAUGGGCUACAUUUUCUACUAUAGAAAACUACACGACAAGGAGUGUGAAACCCCUCCCAAAAGGCGGAUUUAGUAGUAAAGCAGGACUAUAAUGCCUUCUUAAAAUCGGCCCUGGAGCACGUACAUACCGCCCGUCACCCUCCUCACAAGCUGCCAACUCUCCACAUUACCUAAUUAAUCACCAAGCUAAAGAUGAGGUAAGUCGUAACAAGGUAAGUGUACCGGAAGGUGCACUUAGUCUACC
rnacentral:ncRNA from 1 species